ensembl:snRNA U7 U7 small nuclear RNA
CAGUGUUACAGCUCUUUGAGAAUUCAUCCAGCAGGUUUUCUAGUUCCUACCAAAGGGGGAGAAAUUCAAA